rnacentral:rRNA from 1 species
GGGGCCCGCACAAGCGGUGGAGCAUGUGGUUUAAUUCGACGCAACGCGAAGAACCUUACCAGGGCUUGACAUCCCCUGACCGCGUAUGAAAGUACGUUUUCACCCUCGGGUGACAGGGAGACAGGUGGUGCAUGGUCGUCGUCAGCUCGUGUCGUGAGAUGUUGGGUUAAGUCCCGCAACGAGCGCAACCCCUACGUUUAGUUGCUAACGCGUGAAGGCGAGCACUCUAGACGAACUGCCGUUGACAAAACGGAGGAAGUGGGGAUGACGUCAAAUCAUCAUGCCCCUUAUGUCUUGGGCUUCACGCAUGCUACAAUGGCCGGUACAAAGGGCUGCGAUACCGCGAGGUGGAGCGAAUCCCAGAAAGCCGGUCUCAGUUCGGAUUGGGGUCUGCAACUCGACCCCAUGAAGUCGGAGUCGCUAGUAAUCGCAGAUCAGCAACGCUGCGGUGAAUACGUUCCCGGGCCUU